UGGGGAAUUUUGGACAAUGGGCGAAAGCCUGAUCCAGCAAUGCCGCGUGUGUGAAGAAGGCCUUCGGGUUGUAAAGCACUUUUGUCCGGAAAGAAAUCCUUGGCUCUAAUACAGUCGGGGGAUGACGGUACCGGAAGAAUAAGCACCGGCUAACUACGUGCCAGCAGCCGCGGUAAUACGUAGGGUGCAAGCGUUAAUCGGAAUUACUGGGCGUAAAGCGUGCGCAGGCGGUUUGCUAAGACCGAUGUGAAAUCCCCGGGCUCAACCUGGGAACUGCAUUGGUGACUGGCAGGCUAAGUAUGGCAGAGGGGGGUAGAAUUCCACGUGUAGCAGUGAAAUGCGUAGAGAUGUGGAGGAAUACCGAUGGCGAAGGCAGCCCCCUGGGCCAAUACUGACGCUCAUGCACGAAAGCGUGGGGAGCAAACAGGAUUAGAUACCCUGGUAGUCCACGCCCUAAACGAUGUCAACUAGUUG
rnacentral:rRNA from 1 species